rnacentral:lncRNA from 1 species
AUGAAAUGGAAUAUGUUGCUGAAGAGCUGGUGUUCAGAGACCAGGCAGUCUGGGAUCUUCACACCGUACUGGGCAGGUAUACUGGGACAUACAUCUGUAACAGAACGGUGCUUCAACAAACUAGGGAAGAAGACCCACUCCAUCAUCAAUUUUGCUGAUGACACCACAGUUGUAGGUCUGAUCACAGACAAUGAUGAGAGGGCCAACAGGGAGGAGGUCAAUCUCCUUACAAAGUGGUGUGAAGAAAACAACCUCACCCUCACCCAAGUCAGCAAAACCAAGGAGCUGAUUGUUGAUUUCAGAAAACUGCCAAACGGUCAUGCCCCUAUCCACAUCAACGUGACUGAAGUGGAAAGGGACAGUAACUUCAAAUUCCUUGGCAUCCAUAUCACCGAGGACCUCACAUGGUCUCUCAACGCCACUUGUCUGAUUAAGAAAGCGCAAUAGCGCCUGUACUUCCUAAGAUGGAUGAAGAAGGCUAAGAUAUCUCUUCAGAUCCUCACUAACUUUUACAGAUACACUAAAGAAAGCACACUUUGCUGACAGCAAAGCCCUACAGCGGGUGGUGAAAACUUCCCAGUCCACCACUGGGGUUGCUCUCCCAUCCAUCCAGGACAUUUAUGACAGACGGUGCUUGAGGAAAGCUCUAAGCAUCAUCAAAGACCCCACACAACCCAGCUACAGACUCUUUGAUCCUCUACCAUCUGAAAAAGGGUACCGGAGCAUUCGGGCCCAGACUACCACUCAGAGACCCCUCACUAUCAAACUCCCAGCCUCUCUUACCUCUUACCCUUAACCCUUAAAAUGCCUUCUCUCUUUAUCAACACUCAAAUGCACAUUGAAAUCUACCUCUACCUCACGUCAAGACGUUCACUCCCCGUCAGUUUGUAUCCUUUAUUUCAUUCUGUUCUUUCACACAACUGUUGUUUUCUUGCACAUUGCCUGUUGUCUCUGUCUUUCUUUUCUUAACAACAAUUGUACUGUUGUUUUUUUUGUACUACUUACCGUCUGAGAGCUAGCUAAAUAGCAUUUCGUUAUACCAUAUACUUGUGUAUCAGUAUAAUGACAAUAAACUUGAACUUGACUUGAACUUGAAGAAGGUGGGAAAAAAAUUGAAGUCUCCCAUAAAAUUCUUGAUUUCAUUAUUGUGUUGAAUUAUAAUUCACCUCUGCCUUUGAUUGUCUACAGCACAUUCAUAGCUUUAUACCUUCAGAUUGUUUUUAGUCUGACUCACACGGAUUCAGAUUCUGCGCAUCUACUCAAGUUACAGUAUAUUCAUCUCCCUUGUUUUUGGUUAGCCACAUUUCUUUGAUUACAUUUGCAUCAUAGUUGCCUACGAAUGUGGUAGCUUUUAUAUAAUCUAAUUUGUUUCUAAUAUUUCUAGCAGGUAAGCACCAAGCAUUCUAGCACUGGUAGAAUUGAUAGACAUCAGUGAUUUAGCCAGGCAGGCAUUGGUAGACAUCAGUGAUUUAGGUAUCAGCACUCAAUUACCUGAACCUUCUGAUUUGCUCUAGCUUUUCCCUCCUUCCAUUCUAGUUGAAUACUUUCUGGAUCUCUUUUGGGAUCCUUGCAUCAAGACGACUGGUGCUCUUCUCAUUCAGAUGUAAUCCAUCACAUCUGUACAGAUGACCUUUGCCACGGAAAGGCUUCCAGUGGCCCACAGACUUGAAGCCUUCUUCUGCACACCCUGUCCAUAUCCAUGUGUUUGUCGACAGGUUAACACCGAUGUUGUUCACUUGUGUGCGUUCUUGACAAAACAGCUUCUAAAAACCAAAUAAGCCAGACAUGCUGAAUGGACUCCUCUUGGUUGCAAGCUUUCUUAUGUUCAUUAUUAUUUUUUCUUUGAAAUUUCAAAACCUUAAGGCUGUGUAGAAGGGAUACAUCAGUUCAGUUAAACCUUAACAGGAUCAAUGUAACACUUCUCCCAGGUGAACAGCUGUUGAUAACUUAAGGAGACGUAAAAAACCUGCUGGAUUCCAGACCCUGAGGACAGGUGUCAUAGGUGACAGGUAUGUUCAGUUCUCAUGUCCCCCAAGCCGCUUGUGAGUACACAGCAGAAAGACAGGAUGAGCAAUAUUUGUACAAGGUUAUAAUGGAGGAAAAUAGCCAGUGGCACUAAAUGUAAAAGGAAUUUUAAGUCAACUUUAAUGUGACAUGACAAGAUAAAGGUGUAAUUAAUCCCUUUACUUACUAGCAUAUUACAGCCUUAAUAAGUAUUCCCCUUUGACAUACUGUGUUUAAUCUAAGGGGUCUUUUAUUGUGACACGAAUCAACAGCUGGACAGGUGGCACAAAUCUCAGUCCAGAUACUAUAUUAUUAAAGAAGAGAGAAUAUACUGUAUGCAUGGAGGCAGGUACUAGAAGUUUGCUUAAACAAAGAACUACAUGUAAUAAUAUAUAAAUCACACCUAAAAUGCAUGCAUACAAUUAAUGAGAAAACUCCUCAUUUGAAACAGUUAUUUUGAGUAAUAAGCAUUGUUUAUUAAUUUACCACCAUACUUAUUAAAGUAUUUUAUAAAUGUUUUAUCUAGAAUAUCAUUUAAGCUAAUUCGAGAAUCUAUGAACCUAAGUGACAGCUGAUUCGGCAGCAGUAUUCACUUUCCUGGGGCCACUGUCAAGUCUGGACAGAGGGAGCUCUUCAAUGAUUUGAUUCAUCACUUGCUUUCCCCCACAGCUGCAGUGUUGGCUAUUUUGCAAGACCCAUUGAUACAUGCAGGCUUCACGGAGGCUGUGGCCUCUUCGUGAUGGAUUUAGCAAGGUCCUCAGUCAACUGGCUAGGUCUAAGCCAGGCAGACAUUUGUAGACAUCACUGAUGGGGAGCUAGCCCGUUGUGACUGGUGAAGACCAUUCUGCUUCUUCCAGGGCCUGCACUGUCAGACUCCAUAUCGCUAAUCAGAAACAAGUAGGCGACAAAUGGUUCAUGUAUGAGUGCGCUAGUUGUUUACUGCUGCAUCAACUGAAAUGUGUGACUUUGUCCUGGAUUUAAAAAACUCAAGGAUAAUUUGCAUUGCUUUCAACUCCCAAUCACACUUGAAUGGAAUGCAGUCAAGAAGGCUCAUGUGUGUUGUGCUUUUAACCCUAACUUAUUGUCCACCUGUAGCAAUGGGUCAUGGCUAUUGCAUCAACACCACUUGUCCUGCUAGUUCUCCUUUGCAACAUGGCAGCACUGUGACUAAGGCCCAUUGCUACACAUUGCAGUUGCAUGUUUUACUUUACUGUCAUACAGUCCUUUACCAAAUGACGAAAUAUCCCUAGUUCAUGAAAACAAUAAUCAGAAAAACCUCUGCAGCACUCAGACACAAAAAAGUUCCAGACAGAUAAAGUGACAGUUUGUGGCUGAGCUGAGAAAACCUGACUGAGGUUUGAGCCUCCAGUGCCCAUAGGCAAAGGCCGGAGCUGAAGAGAAACCCAUUGCCAUGAGAGGAAGGGAAAUUACAUCAUAAACCAGAAUUAAACAUCUAGCAAGCCCUAGUCACACUAUUCCAUUCGCUAAAUGGCACAACUGAGUUUUGUCUUGGUGCUUUGUAGGGUCUUCACUGGUUGUGUGCAGGAAAGCAACCUAGUCAUUCUGAAACUGCUGCUGAAAGGAGGAAGGCUGCUGGCAGGAUCAAAGGCUUUUCGUUCAUUCAGAAUGUAGGCUGCAGAGCUAUCUGAGUAGUGUUUGUUUACAGGCACACACAUUAUAAGCACCUGUUUAUCUUAGUUGGAAAAUGUUUCUCAGGGUCUCAGAAGCGGAGCACAGCUUCCUGAGGAGAUUUCCGGAGGCAAUAGAAAAUUUUGGUGGGUUCCUAUAAAAAAAGGGAAAUUUAGGCAUUCGUAAGACACAUGUGCAGCGUUUGUUUUAUGUCUGAAAAACAUUUGUGAAUGUAAAACAGAGAAUUCUGGUAUCUAGUGGUUGUACAACAUCUUUGAAUAGAAUCUCAGGUUUAAAUAGUUGUUGAUAAAUUAAAUUUUAUCACUAAAAAUAUUGAAUAACCUCUAAUAGAGUAAACAAAGGGAAAAAAAGCAAAUUAUUUUAAAACAAUAGCAAAGCAACCUUCCUAGAUAUCUGAUCAUGAUCAUAUAUUGCAUAUUCCAUGAAUAAGAACAGGGCACAAUUCUUAUAUAUUUUAACUCAUUCAACUGAAUUUCCAUGGUAUUACUUGCCUACUGCUUUGAACGAAACCUGUUUCAAACGGCUGAUCUACAGCCUAAUAUUGCACUAAUGCUUUUAAUUUAAUGUUCGCAGUUGGUGUAAUUGGUAUAAUAUAGCAAUAUAAUACAUUAUAGGAAAUUCGAGCAUUAGGCACUAAAUUGAAAUUUUAAAGCAAAUGGCAAAAAUGACUGUGGGGGAAAGGAACCCUAUUAAAUCUAAUUUGUUAUGCACUGCAGUAGGGGUAAUGGAUGCAAUGAAAGUUCCUUUAUUGAGUUCUUAUGUCCAAAAGGUAUUUAGGUACCAUGCUGCAUUAAGCUGCUCCCUGUGCUCCUUCUGCGACUGAAGAUAGCAAGAAAUAAGUCACAUAGGUUGCUGCCCCUUUAUUUUUACUUCCUUUGCUGUGGACCUUGUGCAGAGGACACCUUGGGCUCCUUAAGAAGGAUUACAAAAGGUGCCCCCGACCCCCUUCUGUCUAUAUGAAUAGGUCACUCUGGAGGAAGACUAAAGAUGACGGAGAGAGUUAAGUCCUUCAGGUGGGUCUUUUUAGAUUCCAAUAGAGAGGGAGCUCUGGACUGGGUAAGGGUUUCAGCAGUCCCCUAGAAGAUCUGAGAUCAAAAGCUGCCGUUAAAUAAAAUUCCAUUGGGAAAUCUUAAAACCCC